ensembl:lncRNA
UCUUUAUCUCUCUCUGCCUGCUCCCCAUCACUGUCUCAUUGGUCCCAUGAAAGCCCCUGUGGACAACCUGGAAUAUGUCUUACCAGCUAUUAAACCUUAGGGGUUAUUCAACUGGUGAAAGGUUUGAAGACAGGCAAAAAGCUCUCUGCAGAAUUUCCCUACUUCAAUCAAGAGCAAAUGCUGUGCCCUGAUGGGGAUUCUCAAUCCAUCAAAAGUAGUUUUCACUGUCAGAAAGAUGUGGACCUUGAGAUGAAUUCUGAAGGCAAAGAAUUAUAUCCUCCUUUGAGACCUUUGGAUGAAAUGCAAGAUGUUAUCAGUGGAAAGGAAGAAGUCCCCCCACGGGGAAUUCAUGCAAUUGAAGACAACUGGGCUACAAUACUGAACCUGAAAAGAAGGCUUAUUUUGGCCACAUGAAGUAGCUACCUCUGAUUUAAAAUCCGACUUCGUGUUGUGUUCAAAGAAAAAUAAGAAAAUGGUUAUAAUGUAGUUGGCAUUGAUCCCCUGUGAAGAUACAACUGAUGUUGCUCAGAAGCUUAAAAAGAGAAUAGCAUUUCAGUUUUGAAGAGGAUGGAGGAUGUAGUAGAGUAUAUAGGUCUUAAAAAUCCCCGCAUAGCCAAAACAAAGCACUAGGAAUGAUGAACACGUCCCUUUGUGAACAGUGGGAAAUUGGAUGAUAUAACAGCGUCCUUAGAUACAACAGGGUAGGUGCCACAUGGGCCAAGAAGAGACUGAAUAAAGAAGCCUUUGGAGCAUUGCUGCUAAUGAGC